AAAGCAAGCAAACUGGUUGCAUUUUUUGAAUCAAGGUAACAGUUGGUAUUAGUGGAGAGCUGAAAAACGAGGAAUAGAAGCUUUUGCGAAAGAUUAUGAACAAAUUGUUGUAAUGGAGUUCCGACGGCAACUUCAUGUAAAUCAACGAACUCAAAUUCAAUAUAUUCGAAUAUAGUACUAUCCGAUUUUUUGUACUUCAUGUCGUGCAGAAUGUAAUAAACAGACCGAACAACAAUCAUUAAUUUCUCAGGGCCAAUAUUCUC